GACAGAGGGUGCAAACGUUGCUCGGAAUUACUGGGCGUAAAGCGCGUGUAGGCGGACCACCAAGUCGGACGUGAAAGCCCUGAGCUCAACUCAGGAACUGCAUCCGAAACUGGCGGUCUGGAGUAGUGGAGAGGAAAGCAGAAUUCCUGGUGUAGAGGUGAAAUUCGUAGAUAUCAGGAGGAACACCGGUGGCGGAGGCGGCUUUCUGGACACUUACUGACGCUGAGACGCGAAAGCGUGGGGAGCAAACAGG
rnacentral:rRNA from 1 species